rnacentral:rRNA from 1 species
GAGUUUGAUCAUGGCUCAGGACGAACGCUGGCGGUGCGCCUUAUGCAUGCAAGUCGAGCGAAGCUUUUCAGUAGUUUACUACAGAAAAUGACUGAGCGGCGAACGGGUGAGUAACGCGUGAGCAAUCUACCUUAGUUACUGGGAUAGCCCGAGGAAACUCGGAUUAAUACCGGAUAUUCUUAUUUAAUCACAUGAUUUUUUAAGGAAAGGUCAGCCGAACUAAGAUGGGCUCGCGUUCUAUCAGCUAGUUGGUAGGGUAAUGGCCUACCAAGGCUACGACGGAUAGCUGGUCUGAGAGGACGAUCAGCCACACUGGGACUGAGACACGGCCCAGACUCCUACGGGAGGCUGCAGCAGGGAAUAUUGCGCAAUGAGCGAAAGCUUGACGCAGCGACACCGCGUGUGGGAUGACGGAUCUAGGUUUGUAAACCACUUUCAGGAGGGAAGAAAAUGACGGUACCUCCACAAGAAGCCCCGGCCAACUACGUGCCAGCAGCCGCGGUAAUACGUAGGGGGCGAGCGUUGUCCGGAUUUAUUGGGCGUAAAGAGCUCGUAGGCGGUUCAACAAGUCGGUCGUGAAAGUUCAGGGCUCAACCCUGAAAUGUCGAUCGAUACUGUUGUGACUAGGAUACGGUAGAGGUGAGUGGAAUUCCGAGUGUAGCGGUGAAAUGCGUAGAUAUUCGGAGGAACACCAAUUGCGAAGGCAGCUCACUGGGCCGCUAUCGACGCUGAGGAGCGAAAGCUAGGGGAGCAAACAGGAUUAGAUACCCUGGUAGUCCUAGCUGUAAACGAUGGAUACUAGAC